UAACUUGUAGGUGAUCAGCUGGAAAUAACCUGCUGGUGACCUAAUUGGGGAAGUCUAAUGUGAGCAACCCUACUGAGGAUGAACGGUAGGCAAACCUGCUGGAGAUCAAUGUAUGCGAAUCCGUCAGGGAUAAGCUACAAACCAACUUGUUGAAAUUCCACUCAUGCUGAGAUUUCCUGCUCACUUUGCGGGAGAUUUCCAAUCUGAAUGAGAGAAGACCAAC
rnacentral:lncRNA from 1 species